AAGUGUUGCAGAUCUUUUAGAAUUUGUCUAGCAGGCUUUGUGACUGCUGCCAGAAGAGCCCUU
ensembl:snRNA U7 U7 small nuclear RNA